rnacentral:tRNA from 1 species
AAUCAAUGAGCUUGAAUAAGCAUAUAUUUUGAAAAUAUAAGAUAACUAAUAUGUUAUUGAUUU